UGUCAAGUCGGAUGUGAAAUCCCCGGGCUCAACCUGGGAACUGCAUCCGAAACUGGCAGGCUAGAGUCUUGUAGAGGGGGGUAGAAUUCCAGGUGUAGCGGUGAAAUGCGUAGAGAUCUGGAGGAAUACCGGUGGCGAAGGCGGCCCCCUGGACAAAGACUGACGCUCAGGUGCGAAAGCGUGGGGAGCAAACAGGAUUAGAUACCCUGGUAGUCCACGCCGUAAACGAUGUCGACUUGGAGGUUGUGCCCUUGAGGCGUGGCUUCCGGAGCUAACGCGUUAAGUCGACCGCCUGGGGAGUACGGCCGCAAGGUUAAAACUCAAAUGAAUUGACGGGGGCCCGCACAAGCGGUGGAGCAUGUGGUUUAAUUCGAUGCAACGCGAAGAACCUUACCUAC
rnacentral:rRNA from 1 species